GGAGGUGAGGGUGAUCUGGCUGUCAUCCCAGUGAUUGCCAGGGCUGGUUAUGUUGAUCUAGCUGGUUUCUUUUCUUACAAUGCCAUGGAUGUGUCCCUCCCAAAGCCGCUUGUUUAGCUGGAGAGAACAACCUUCCAGAAGAGCAGAGCCCACUCUUCUGUGGUCACUGUUCUUCGGUUAACGGUAUACAAAUAGCUGUACUUCAUAGAUAGAGCCCCCUUUCCCUGCCCCAACAUUUAAGAAUGCAAAACUCAGAACUGUCCCUCAGGAGCCAGCAAUACUCAAACCACACGAAUUGUUUGUUUUU
rnacentral:snRNA from 1 species